GAGAUUAUAGCUUAAUCGGUAAAGUACCAUCCUGUCACGAUGGAUGUUGCGGGUUCAAACCCCGUUAAUCUCU
rnacentral:tRNA from 1 species